ACAUUAGCAACCACAGAAAAAUUUGGGUUAUCAGACGUUAGACCGUGUUAUGUGUAAAAUCAAAAUGUCGUAUUUGAUAUCGCUUUCGAUACUUGUAUCUGUAUUCUCAGGUUGUUAUGCUGGAUCUUACUGUUACACCAGUUAUGGAUUCUCUUAUUAUACUUACUGCACUUAUGGCUGUUGUUUCGGUGGUUGUUGUUCCUUCAGUAUCGGGGCAAUUGUUGGAAUAGUAAUUGCGUGUAUAACUGGAUUCGUAAUUCUAGUUGUGGUUUGUAUUGCUUUGAAUAAAAAGAAGACUCGAGGUCGGGUGAUAGUGGCACCUAGUACUACUAACGUACAUCAUGUAUCACCUGGUUAUGGCCAACAACCUAUGAUGACAUAUAAUACAAUGCCAGGACAAUAUCCACAAGCACCUCCACCUUAUACUUACACCAACCCUGCUUAUCCUCCACAAAAAGAUGGACAACAACAACAGCCACCACCACAAAAUUAUGCUGCACCACCCGGAACGGUACCGCAACCACAAGUGGCCCCUGUGGGAUUCGAAGAAAACGGAGGACCAACAGCACCAACAGUACCACCACAACAACCACAACAAACCCAAGGUCCACCUAAUCCAUUUAGUGCUUAUGCCAAUAAUAAAUCUUAAAAUAGAAAAUAGAAGAUUGAGUAUAACAGAAACAAAACAUUUGAUCAUUAAAUGAAUGAAUUUUAACCAUUAGAUUCUUAAGAUUACUGAAAUACUCUAUCUUAUAUAACAGAAACUCCCGGUGUGUUCUCUUCAAUGACAUUUACUCAGUACAUUCAUGUAAGACCUGUGAUCCGACAUCCAUUGUUAUUUGCGAGAAGACGUAUAGAAGCUUUGGUUGAUCAUUUUGUAUUAUACAUGUACAUUGGAUUGUAGAUGCAAUAAAGCAUAAUUUAAAAUUA